CCGCUGGAUGAUGACGAGAUCAUCUCCUACAUCGUCGCGGGUCUGGACAUGGAGUACCAGCCGCUGGUGUCAGCUCUUGAUGCUCGCACCGAACCGGUCACGCUUGACGAUCUCUUUGCUCAAAUGAGUAAUUUUGAUC
rfam:Hordeum vulgare subsp. vulgare, WGS project CAJW01000000 data, contig: morex_contig_1562087